rnacentral:rRNA from 1 species
AUUGAACGCUGGCGGAAUGCUUUACACAUGCAAGUCGAACGGUAGAGGGGGCAACCCCUCGAGAGUGGCGAACGGGUGAGUAAUAUAUCGGAACGUGCCCAGUCGUGGGGGAUAACGUAGCGAAAGUUACGCUACUACCGCAUACGAUCUAAGGAUGAAAGCGGGGGAUCGCAAGACCUCGCGCGAUUUGAGCGGCCGAUAUCAGAUUAGGUAGUUGGUGGGGUAAAGGCUCACCAAGACAACGAUCUGUAGCUGGUCUGAGAGGACGACCAGCCACACUGGAACUGAGACACGGUCCAGACUCCUACGGGAGGCAGCAGUGGGGAAUUUUGGACAAUGGACGCAAGUCUGAUCCAGCCAUUCCGCGUGCAGGAUGAAGGCCCUCGGGUUGUAAACUGCUUUUGUACGGAACGAAAAGGUCUCUCUUAAUACGGGGGACUCAUGACGGUACCGUAAGAAUAAGCACCGGCUAACUACGUGCCAGCCGCCGCCGUAA